AUACUCAGUUUUCUCAUCCCUACUGCAUACAUUUGUGGUGUUAUUUUAAUAAAAGAAUGAACCUCUUAAGUUUCUAGCCAAAUGUUUGGUAAUAUAAUAGUCAAUACAUGUUAAUCUUCCUUCUUUUGCUUUCUUAAAUAUAAAAUUAGUCAAUUUACAACUAUAAAUGCAAUUUUCUUUAUAAAGAUAAUGUUUUAACUGGCUUACAUUUUAUGUUUUUCAGACUUGCAUCAUUUAUAUUUUUAAUUCAUCGAGGAUGAGAAAAUUGAUUAACACAAAAUCUUUUCAUGUCUUUUCUGAUGAGAGACUAGCUGAAUCCAAGAAGAGAAGCCCUUGAAGAGUGUAUUCUAUUCUAGACAAGCAUUCACACAUUGGCUUCUUUGGUGCCAGAUCCUGGUCACAGAUUUUGGUGUGGAUGUGGUAAAAAGGGAGCACUUUUACACUGCUGGUGGGAAGGUAAAUUAGUACAACCACAAUGGAAAACUGUAUAGAGAUUCUUUAAAGAACUAGAAGUAGAACCACCAUUUGACCCAGCAAUCCCACUACUGAGUAUAUACCCAGAGGAAAACAAGUUAUUAUAUGAGAAAGAUAAGCACAUGCAUGUUUAUAACAGCACAAGUUGCAAUUGCAAAAAUAUGGAACCAGCCUAAUUGCCCCUCGGUGAACAAGUGGAUAAAGAAAAUGUGGUAUAUCUGCACAAUGGAAUACUACUCAACCAAAAAAGAAAAAAAAAAUGACAUUUACAGCAACCUGGAUGGAGGUUGAAGACAAUUAUUCUAUGUGAAGUAACUCAUUGAUGCAAAACCAAAUAUUGUAGGUUUUCCCUUAUAAGUGGGGCCUAAGCUAUGAGGACACAAAGGCAUAAGAAUGAUAUGAUGGAUUUUGGGGAAUUGAGAGGAAGUUUGGGAGGGAAGUGAGGGAUAAAAGACUACACGCUGGGUACAAUGUACACUGCUCAAGUGACGGGUUCACCAAAAUCUUAGAAAUCGCCACUGAAGAGCUUUUCCAUGUAACCAAAAGCCACCUG
rnacentral:lncRNA from 1 species